GGAAGGCUCCGGCCCUGAAGGCUGCGGCGCCGAGCCCCGGGCGGGCGGCGGGCUCGGCCUCAGGGCCCAGGAGGAACUGCUGCUGCUCUUCACCAUGGCCUCGUUGCACCCGGCUUUCUCCUUCCACCAGCGGGUCACCCUGAGGGAGCAUCUGGAGCGGCUCCGCACGGCGCUCCGCGGGGGCCCGGAGGACGCGGAGGUGGAGCCGUGCAACUUUGCCGGCUCUAGGGCCCAGAACAACUCUGCUCAUGGUGAUUACAUGCCAAGUAACGAGGCCAGUUUACAAGAACAAGCCCCAGUACCUCAGGAUGGACUUAGCACAGCACCUCAUAGAGCUCAGCGAGAAGCUGUACACAUCGAGAAGAUAAUGUUGAAAGGAGUCCAGAGAAAAAGGGCUGACAAAUACUGGGAGUACACUUUCAAAGUAAAUUGGUCUGAUCUUUCAGUCACAACAGUAACAAAAACCCACCAAGAACUACAGGAAUUUCUACUGAAGCUUCCAAAGGAAUUGUCUUCGGAGACUUUUGACAAGACUAUCUUAAGAGCCCUGAAUCAGGGUUCUUUGAAAAGGGAGGAGCGGCGCCAUUCUGACCUGGAGCCUAUCCUAAGGCAGCUAUUCUCUACUUCAUCACAAGCUUUUCUGCAGAGUCAGAAAGUGCACAGCUUUUUUCAGUCCGUCUCGGCAGACUCUCCACACAAUAACCUACAAUCCUCUAUGAAAACUUCUAAGAUAUUAGAACACUUAAAAGAGGACAGCUCAGAAGCUUCAAGUCAAGAAGAAGAUGUGUUGCAGCACACCAUAAUCCACAAAAAGCAUGCCGGGAAGAGUCCUGUUGUGAACACUGUUGGCACGAGUUGCUCCCCACUGGGUGGGCUCACCAUGCAGUAUUCUGAGCAGAACGGAGUUGUGGACUGGAGGAAGCAAAGCUGCACCGCCUCGCAGCCCGCUGAGCAUUGUGUGGCCUUAGCCGACCAGCAUUCUACUGAAAAACGGAGCUUAUCUUCAAUAAAUAAGAAGAAAGGAAAGCCACAAAUGGAAAAGGAGAAAAUUAAGAAAGCUGACAACAGGCUGAACAGUAGAAUGAACGGUGUCAGACUUGCCCCGCCUCCGCAUGCCCACAGUGGUGCUGUGAAAGAUGUGAAUUUGGACAUUGGAUCUGGACAUGACACAUGUGGAGAAACAUCUUCAGAGAGUUACAGUUCUCCGUCUAGUCCACGGCAUGAUGGAAGAGAAAGUUUUGAAAGUGAAGAAGAAAAAGACAGAGACUCAGACAGCAAUUCUGAGGAUUCUGGGAAUCCAUCAACAACCAGGUUUACAGGUUAUGGUUCUGUCAACCAGACUGUCACUGUCAAGCCACCUGUUCAGAUUGCUGCACUAGGCGAUGAGAAUGGAAGCCUUUUAGAAGAUCCCUUAAACUCUCCCAAGUAUCAGCAUAUUUCUUUUAUGCCAACUUUACACUGUGUCAUGCACAAUGGUGCCCAGAAGUCUGAAGUUGUCAUUCCUCCACCCAAAUCUGCUGAUGGCAAAGCAAUAGGGAUGCUUGUUCCUAGUCCUGUUGCUAUUUCUGCAAUAAGGGAGUCCACCAGUUCAACCCCUGUUGGAAUACUAGGACCAACAGCCUCUAUUGGAGAAUCAGAAAAACAUCUGGAACUGCUGGCAACCCCUUUACCUGUUCCAUCCACCUUCCUUCCACACGGCAGUACUCCUGCUUUGCACCUGACAUUUCCGAGGCUGAAAUUGCCACCACCACAGGGAUCUUCCGAGAGCUGCACAGUGAACAUCCCACAGCAGCCCACCGGAAGUCUGAGCAUCGGAUCACCAAACACUGCCUUUAUCCCUGUCCAUAACCCAGGUAGUUUUCCAGGAUCUCCUGUGGCUACCACGGACCCCAUCACAAAAUCUGCAUCCCAAGUGGUAGGACUAAAUCAAAUGGUGCCUCAAAUUGAGGGAAACACAGGGACAGUCCCUCAGCCUACCAAUGUGAAGGUAGUUCUCCCAGCAGCUGGCCUCUCCGCCGCACAGCCACCAGCCUCAUACACCCUCCCGGGCUCUCCCCUUGCUGCUAAUGUGUUGCCCAACCAGAAUUCCAGUGUGCUCAACACAGCAGCGACUUCUGCCCAGCCGGCAAGUGCAGGCAUCAGCCAGGCCCAGUCUCCUGUCCCUCCCGCAGUGCCCACCCAUACCCCUGGCCCUGCCCCCAGCCCCAGCCCUGCUCUGACCCACAGUACCGCACAGAGUGACAGUACGUCUUACAUCAAUGCUGUGGGGAACACGAACUCUAAUGGGACGGUGGUGCCACCGCAGCAAAUGGCCUCAGGUCCUUGUGGUUCUUGUGGGCGAAGGUGCAGCUGUGGGACCAAUGGAAACCUUCAGCUUAAUAGUUACUAUUACCCUAAUCCAGUGCCCGGACCAAUGUACCGAGUCCCAUCGUUCUUCACUCUGCCAUCCAUUUGCAAUGGCAGCUACCUCAACCAAGCACAUCAGAGCAAUGGAAACCAACUUCCUUUCUUUCUGCCUCAGACUCCGUAUGCAAAUGGACUGGUGCACGACCCUGUCAUGGGGAGCCAAGCUAACUAUGGCAUGCAUCAGAUGGCAGGGUUCGCGAGAGUUUAUCCUGUGUACCCAGCACCUAGUGUAGUUGCCAACACCAGUGGUUCGGGGCCCAAGAAGAAUGGGAAUGUCUCAUGUUACAAUUGUGGUGUGAGCGGACACUAUGCACAGGACUGUAAGCAGUCGACCAUGGAGGCCAGUCAACAAGGCACUUACAGACUGAGAUACGCACCUCCCCUCCCCCCUUCUAAUGAUACGUUGGAUUCUGCAGACUGAAACGAGUAAAGCUUGCCUACUUAACACACUCAAGUGGGGAGCCAUGGGGUGUGGAGGGGAGGAAAGGAAAGGGAGCAUCUAGUACUUAAGAGCACCACUGAGCUUGGAAGACACGUUUUUUCAGUUCUGCGUACUGAUUACAAAAGCACUCAGGUUCAGACAGUACCACCACCUGGAGGCAAGCCGUGACCGUGGUCCCAGCCCGUAACCUUCCGAAACUUCAUCUCCAGACAAGCGCCGAGUCCUCCCACCCCACUCCCCAUAAGGGCUCGUUCCUGUUCAGAGAAAUGAGUCUUGCGGUGUGGGGACGAAUCGAGGAGAUGGACCGCUCUGCCCUUCGACACCAGCCCUGUGUCACUCCCCCUUCCUUAGCGGCGGCCGGGCCCAGCCGCUGUGGGCCUGCAGGGCUCUGGGGUCCGGUGUGACUAGGGCGGAGGGAGCACACCGGCUGCGGUGCUGCAGACCCGGAGUGGGGGCGUGCAGAGGGCAGGCCACAGCAGGCCGAAGUGCUGCUUACAGGUCACGGCUGUCGCGCCCGUACGUGCAAAAAUAACCGCUCCAUCUCACAACUUCACUUUCUUAGGGGCUGGCCUCGAAAACGUGAGCCCUCUGGGUUGUAACGUGGGUACACUUGGCUGAGCUUCCCAUGUAUAUGCCCAUGCCCUCCAGUCUUGGAGCACAGCGUCUGGGCCGCCUCUUCCUAACGGGCGAGUGGGCGUAUCACACAGGUGGGCACAGGAGGCCCUUCCCUCACGUGCUCACACUUCACCUCAGGGACCACCGGCCCCGGCCACCAGACGCUCUCCGCUUCCAGCUCCCAUUUGACCGGCCUUGAUCCAUAGAAGGAGGUUUCAGCCAGCCUCACACCAGAAGAAAUUGCUCAUUGGGAAGCAGUGCCACCUAGUGGGGGCUGAGGACAGUGCACGCAAGCAGAUGCUCUUUCCUACUGACCUAAUUUAGAGAAAAUUAAACGUCAGAGAAAACACUUGGGAUUGUUCGCCUGUGGUCAAAACCAUAAAGAAUGCGGGCAGCUGGCCAUCAAAGCAAUCUGAGAAGCCGUCUCUCCCAUCCAUCGCAAUCUAGAGAGAGAAUGCCCUGGAGAAGUCCCUGGUGAUUUUGAAGAAGACCAUUCCUGGAGGGGAGGAAAGCAGACCAGAAGAUACCUGCGGUGACGAUGGAGCUGAGACGAACACUGGAAAUGGAGUGACCUGAUGACCUCAUUUUUGAGGGGGAGGGGUGAAGGGGAGGGGGUCGAGGAGAGUGGCCACAGUCUGGGACUGCUGUGUGGAAUGGGAUGCUGAGGGGCACUGAGUCCACUGCUUGGCAUUCUCGAGGACCGACUGAGGUGGAAACCACGUACCAGUCUCUAUGGUGUAGGGGUCCUUUUCGUGCCUAAGGAUGUCAGGGGCCAGAGUAAGAGAGGAGUUAGGUCGAUUUGGGGUAAAGGUUUGCAGGUUCCCUGUAAAGGUUUUGGGUCGCUUUCACUAUCCUUGCUAAUCCGACCACCUCUGGGGCUCCCCCUUCUUCCCAUCAUUCCCAACAAGCUAUGUCUGUUUUUCUACGAGCAGGGUCCUUGUCAAAGGUGCCUGCUCACAGGUCUGAAGUGACACCGUGCAUUCCAGUUCCCCACGGGGACUUAGGGCCUUGUCCCACGCACCUGCUACCUCACUUCAGCCCCCAAGCUCUUGUUUCCAUCCCAGUUCCUGGGCACUGUCUCCGAGUGGGUGGGGGAAGGGCUUCCCAGGAGACCUAUACCCUGUCCUUGGUCACUAGAAGUGUCUGUAACUCGUGUCAAUCAAGCAGGGACAGAAGAGCAUUCCUUGGGCCCACCAGAAGAGUCGUUCUCUCACGGGUAGUGUGGGCACAUCAGGCAGGCAGCCAGCAGUACUCGGUUGCGGGAGUGCCAAGAGUCCCGGACAACUCCACUUGGGCCUCACCAGUGGAAUUCCAGAAGGCGGAAAG